AAAAAGGGCUUCUGUCGUGAGUGGCACAUGGUAGGGCAACUCGAUUGCUCUGUGUGCAGAAUUGACAUCAAGAGAUUUUGGAAGCAUAAUUUUUUGGUAUCUGGGCAGCUGGUGAUUGUUGAAAAAAAUUAUUAUCAUG